GUUUGGAUUAUGGCUCAGACGUAUGGAACGCUGGCGGAUGCUUCUACACAUGCAAGUCGAACGCAGGCACGGACUUCGGUCUGGUGGCGAGUAUGAACGGGUGAGUAAUGUAUCGGAACGUGCCUAGUAGCGGGGGAUAACUACGCGAAAGCGUAGCUAAUACCGUACUACGGGCCCUUCGGGGGAAAGUGGGACCUUCGGGCCUCGCACUAUUAGAGCGGCCGAUAUCGGAUUAGCUAGUUGGUGGGUAACGGCUCACCAAGGCGACGAUCCGUAGCUGGUUUGAGAGGACGACCAGCCACACUGGACUGAGACACGGCCCAGACUCCUACGGAGGCAGCAGUGAGUUUUUUGGACAAUGGGGAACCCCUGGAUCCAGCCAUCUGCGGGGGUGAUGAAGGCCUUAGGUUGUAAGCACCUUGGCAGGAAGAAACGGUUUACCGGAUAAUACCCCGUGCAACUGACGGUACCUGCAGAAUAAGCACCGGCUAACUACGUGCCAGCACGCGGUAAUACGUAGGGUGCAAGCGCGUUAAUCAAAUUAUUGGCGUGAAGCGUGCGCAGGCGGUUCGGAAAGAAAGAUGUGAAAUCCCAGAGCUUAACUUUGGAACUGCAUUUUUAACUACCGAGCUAGAGUGUGUCAGAGUGGAGGUGAAUCUCAUGUAGCAGUGAAAUGUAGAUAUGCGUGAGGGAACACCGAUGUACGAAGGCACCUCCCGGGAUAACACUGACGCUCAUGCACGAAAGCGUGGGAGCAAACAGGGAUUAGAUACUCUGGUAGUCCACGCCCUAAACGAUGUCAACUAGCUGUUGGGGCCUUCGGGCCUUGGCGGUGCAGCUAACGUGAAGUUGACCGCCUGGGAGAGGUCGGUCGCAAGAUUAAAACUCAAAGGAAUUGACGGGACUCCGCACAAGCGGUGGAUGAUGUGGAUUAAUUCGAUGCAACGCGAAAAACCUUACUCUACCCUUGACAUGUCUGGAAUCCCGAAGAGAUUUGGGAGUGCUCGCAAGAGAACCGGAAACCACAGUGGUGCUGCAUGGUUGCCGUCAGCUCGUGUCGUGAGAUGUUGGGUUAAGUCCCAGCAACGAGCGCAACCCUUGUAUUAAUAGUUGUUAGCGAAAGGGCACUCUAAUGAGACUGCCGGUGACAAACCGAGGAAGGUGGGGGGAUGACGUCAAGUCCUCAUGGCCCUUAUGGGUAGGGCUUCACACGUCAUACAAUGGUCGGGACAGAGGGUCGCCAACCCGCGAGGGGAGCCAAUCCCAGAAACCGAUCGUAGUCCGGAUCGCAGUCUGUGCAACCUGACUGCAGGAAGUCGGAAUCGCCAGCACCGCGGAUCAGCACACUGCGGUGAAUACGUUCCCGGUCUUGUACACACCGCCCGUCACACCAUGGGAGUGGGUUUACCAGAAGUAGUUAGCUCAACCGUGGCGGAGGCGAUUACCACGGUAGGAUUCUAUGAUCGGGGUGAAGUCGUAACAAGGUAA
rnacentral:rRNA from 1 species